rnacentral:precursor_RNA from 12 species
UUUCUUUUCAGCAUAUUUCACUUUUCGUGUAUUUGGUGAUUCAGCUUAUGACGUUACAAUAUACGUUAUAAAGCUGUUUCACUAAAUGUACGCGUAGUGAAAUUCAACAAAUGGUGUAA